rnacentral:tRNA from 2 species
GCUGCGGUAACUCAGACUGGGAGAGUGCACGGCUGAAGACCGUGACGUCGCGUGUUCAAGUCACGCCCGCGGCA